UUAUUCUAAUGCAGUCUGUGCUUUAUGGGUAUUUCGAUGAAUGAUGUAUAUGAAAUUGUUCCAAAUGGUUUUAUAUGAUGCAAAAUGAAAUUCUCUGAAAUGUCAAGUAGAAGAGUCAAAGUGAAUUACAAUAGAAUGACUUCAUUGCUUGAAUAUUACAGAUUUACAAAAACUUGAUGGCUUAAUUUUAAGUGAAACUCGUGAGAAUUUAGAAAUCUUACAACUCGGUUAUGAGCCAAACAAUGGAUAGUUCUGAUAAGAAGAUGAAAUUGAGAUGAGACAAAUAGGUAGCUAAUAGUUGUGUCAGUAUAUAAUACACACUAGCUGCGGGUGCACACACAAUGCGGCGUGCAAGGAUCUAUAGUUUAUGAUGAGUGCAAGGAUCUAUAGUUUAUGAUGAGUGCAAAGCUUUGUAGUUUAUAAUGGAUAGAAACCGUCCAUGUUUGUAAAGUUUUAAAUAUCGAAACCCAUUUGAAUUUUCACAUGACCAUUCUCAAACUUACCAAUUGUUGGGGGCAUUUU